AGGCCACCGCACCCCCCGGGCAGAGCAGCGACCGUGGCCGCAUCCCCGGGGAACGCUGCGGAACGAGCGGCGCUGGAUCGCCACGGGCGGGAGAAGCCGCUCCCCCCAUGCCGCUCUCGACUGGGACGGGGGCCCUGCUCGGGCCGCUCAUCCGACACCUGCCGGAGAAGAAUGGACUCUCUGUCCUCAGAGGGAAACACAACCUGAUGGGACACAGCUCUGGCACUACAUUUCCUCUUGCUCCUGCUGUCCUGGAAAGGCACAGGUAACUCCAGCCCCUCAGACCCUGCAUCCCUGAGCACCAGGAGAGCUGGAUUUUUACCCAGAUUCCAGUGCCCUGCACGGUGGCACUACUACGAGCACAGGCUGACUGCUCCUCCCAGCACCAUCCACCAUUGUCACUGUUCCCACAUGCUCCCAAACCUCACCUGCAUCUGUGCAGGGCCAGGGCGUGCCCCGAGCCCAGCUAGGGGCUGUCACCCAGCCCUGCCCCAGCUGCCACCCCUAGGAGAGCUGGCAAUAACCAAAGACAGCGGCCUCGCUACACAGAUUAGUGUGUCCUUCCAAAGACGGCGGCAUUAGGUGCGGUAGGGACGGAAAAUGGUGUGGAAAGGCAUCUGUUCGGCUGCCUGACCCCCAACCCCGACUCCAACCCAGACCCCACGUUUUCAGCACGGUUUCCUGCAGUGCUGUGGGUCAGAGAGAAGGGUAACAACUUUUGAUUAUCUUGAAAUUUUUCCAGCCCAAAGUGGGAUGUCGCCUUGCCCCUCCCUAAAGCACUGCAGACGCAUGGGAGUAGCUCAGCGCUGGCCCAGUUCUCUGAGAAAUAAUAAUGGCUGAGGGGUCAAAGCGUUAAGGACAGCUUGUCUCAGUGGCAAAUAUUUCGGUCCUACAGUCCCAGACUGGUGAGGGAAGAAAAGAACUUCUGUUAUUAGUGGAAAAGCUUCUGUUAUUCCUUCUGCAGUCUUUUAAUUCAGUGGUCUGAUUUACUGUCCAGUAUCUUUCUGACAAGACUUGUCAGAGAUUUAGACUUAGGGAUUGAAUUUGGGUCUGUUUAUUACAAAAUCUUGCCAAGCCUGAAGGCCUGGCCUGACCACUGCUCUCAGCAAAGGUUCCUUGUUAUUCCUCUGUCAGAUUUCCCUCAGCGCUGGGCAGGAAAGGUGGGGGUUUGCAUCAGGAAUUCUGCAAGUGGCACUUGUGUGACUGUGGGCUUCUUGUGUGUGUGUCAGGGAGCCAGGGCUGGGACCAGGACUUGUGCUGGAGCUAUUGCCCUUUGGAGCCUUUUUAAAGGUCUGAUCCUAGAACAUUUUGGAGCCUGUUUCCAGAGCUUCAUUUCUAGAUGGAUCUCACUCCAAGUGCAGCAGUCCAGGGGAGGGCUCUGACCUCUCCAUACUUGUGCUCAGCUAGGCUGCGGCUGUCGCUGGCCCAGAUUGGGGCUGGGGCAUGUUUUCCAGGGAACUGGAGAUCAGUAAGGACUGGUGCUCUGGAAAGCAGGGAUCUCCAGGGACUGGCUUUUGCAAAGCUGAAAUGCAGUUUGUAAAAGCUGCCCAAAAUCCAAAUCCCUGUGUUUUCUGUGGAGGACUUGAGAUCAGAACUGUCUUUUGUGGUAAGAGGAUCUGCAUCCCUACAUGUGGCAUGAUCUGUGUGGUUAAAAUGAAGUCCCAGCCCCAGAGGAUGAUGGUUUCUGCUCAUUCCUGUCCCCAGUUGUCCCCAGUGUGUUGCUGAUCCAGAGGGAUCUGCUCUGUUUUCAGGCUGUCCAACAGUCCCCAACGCCGGAGACAGAGAAAGCCCUGGUCAGAGUGGCCAGUGUCACUUCAAUAGAAAUGAAAUGCACCAAACUUACUGUGGGGCAGGAACUACUCUGUGCUUGCUUCAGUUUUAAAAUUGUUAGUGAAUUCCUGAUGUGUAAUUACUUAAUGCUGCCUAUAAAGAGAGAUUUUCCUCGCCCCUAUUUAUGGAUUGUUAUAUAAACGCACAUAACUUUAUGAAGGAGAUCAGGAAGUAAAAACCAACACCCUCUCCUACAUUAGAUUAUUAUAUUUUUGUGGCCAUUUAUUCUGUGGUAAACCUGCCUUUCCCAGUGUGCUUUGGGGUUUCAGCUAUUUGGGAGUAAUUUCAGCCAACUCUUUACAGUGAAAAUAUGAAGGUGGGGUCAAGUGACCAGUACCCUGGGAAAGGCUGUGGGUGUGCCAGGAGCAAAUGGUCAGGGCUUAUCUUCUGAUUUGAGGCUGGGUCUGGCAACACCACAACAUUCCAAAGCAGACUAAUUAUUUCCUCCACUUUGUCACUUGUCCAGGCUCUCUGCAUACUGCCAUAUCAGUGGAUACAUCUCUGUGCUACAGAGGCUUUCCGUGAGGGCUUCAAGGCUUUCCUCCAAACAGUGGUAAACUCAAUAUCCAUUUUACAGACAUCUAUUGCUGCUGGAUUAGCUAAAGGACAUGACCUCCCUGUAAAAUCAGUUUUUAAACAAAAGGUAAACUUUGAACUUUGGACUAUGGAAGAUGAGAUGCACACUAGAUCAAUACUUGGCAAAUAUUAGUUGCUCGCCAUGGGCAGAUACCUCUCUGCUGUACCUCUGCAUGUUUCAGUGUGCUGGUGCAGCACAGAUCUUCAGUUUUAAGGGGUUCUUUACAGAACACAACCAUUAAAUAACUUCUAGCUACUUCGAAGUGCAGUAACAUAGUGCAAAAGUCUAGUAAUUCCCUUCCUCUACAGCCUGCCUAGAGUUGAGGGAACUGAGGGCCUCUUGUUUGCACCUGUGACAACAUUUUCCCUACCACACCAGUAAUUUCCUUUGCCCCAGCUUUACUUCUAUGAACAGCAGCUUUUAAGAAAAUUGUCAAGUUUGAAACAGUUCCUCUUCCUCAGCAAGCAAGCAGCUGGUUCACUGUCUCCAACUGUGUAAUAAUAAUAGUAAUAAUAAUAAGUAUAAAUUGUGCUUCUAUGUUUCAUUAAUGGCUAGGUACAAUAGACACAUUUUAGACUCGGCAUUCCCUAAUUGUGCCCGUAGGUUAAAAAAACAAAAAAGAGUAAGAUAAAAAAUAGGAGAAUUAAAUUCACUUUUUUUCCUCUUUUAUAGAGGACUUUGCUAUUUGACAGUGAGGCAGGAGACAUCUUUCUGCGUUUGGUUAAUAACAACAGUGCCAAGCCAAUCACAAGCGUUUGCACAUCAACCAGUAUUCCAGGAGUACAAAUCCCCAAGACAAAGGCAGGUGUUGUUAUAUGCCAGGGAAGCAGCCCGAGAGAAAUCAGUGUUCCUCAAGAACAAGCCAGAUGUGACAGAUGUUCUGCCCUACACGUGGACAGCAGCUCAGUGCCAGGAGCAGCCAGGGUGUAGCAGUUUGUGUGCGGUGCAAGGGUUCUGGUAACAGCUCCAGCCUGGCAGCCUCCUGGCACAGGAAAGCACUGGCAAGAGCUGCAGUCCAGUAAGAAAGUGCAGCUCUCUUGAGAUUGCUUUGUACGCUAAAUUCCCAGAGCAACAGAGCUGCUGAUGUCCUGUUUGGCAAGGACACCUCUUGCGGUGUCAGCAGCACUGUCAUUCCUUCGGCAGCUUUUGGAACCUGGAGAAGUUAAUCAGGACUUCAGUGCAGACAAACACUAGAGAGAGAGGCAGAAUCACUGCUUCUAAGCACAAGUUUGGACCAGAAUUUGAAUCUCCACCAAUGUAGUUUCCUGGAAGCAAGUUUUUACUUCAUCUCUCACUUAGAUGAAAACAAACAAACAAACAAAACUGUCCCUGCUUCCCUAGGAGACCACAUUUACUAAGGAUUUUGUGUUUUCUGUCUAGUGAAUCUCAGAGCUUGAAGGUAGGAGCCAGGAAACUCAGCCCAGAGACAGAAUCUCUGGUCUCUGGCGAAUUCGCCUCAAGCAUGGUUUUUGGUAACACAUACACACUAUGUAGUGAUACAUUUAUUGUAAACAAAAAUAGGUUUGUGGAGUACACAAAUCAUCUUAAUUCACCUUAUUCUUAUUACCAAAUUGUCAUUUGGCAUAUGAAAACAGUCGUCCAUCAGCACAAGUACCCAGUUUGGGGUUUUGCUUUCUGAUGAUAAAACCCUAUUUCCUCCCCAGGCAGCCACCUGGAGCAGUGCACAGCUGGGCCUGGCUCUGACAACACUGACAGAAUGUUCCUUCCAAGUUUGCUUUACAUUACCUGUCAGAGCUUUCUCCUGGCACCACAGGAGAAGAAGAAAAGCACCAAGAAAGUGCCACAUCCACUCCCAAACUCCUUUCAGCUCAGCAGUAGGGAAUCUGCUCAUAUCAGCAGGGAAAGGGGCUGCAGCCUAGGAGAGGCAGAAGGCAACCCAAGGCCUUCUGCACCUCCUGCGUACAGAGGGGGCCACCCCAGAGAAGCCAGGACAUGUUCUCAGUUUACUAGCAAAGCUGUGGAAACUUUUCUGUCAGUGAAGUGUAGUUUCAGACAUGUAGAACAACACCAAAAUCAUUAUUAAUCUGGUACUGAAAAUAGCAGGGUGCCUUUAGAAAGUGCUGGGAAAAAAAAAAUAAAAUAAAAGACAAUCCAGCACCCAUUACUUCAUUAGGUGCUGGAUCAGCAAACACACAUAAGCUAUUCACAGUAACCCUCACUCAGCUUCCUCCUGUUCUUAUGCUCAAAUCAUACUAUCUAGAACUGACUUUUAAAAAAACCCAACCACAAAACUCCCAAGACUUCAUGCAAAUAAAAACAUAACUUUAAAUAACACUUAAAAUGCAACAUUAAUUCAAACUGCCAUACUUCAUGCCAGCUUUCAGGAGUUAAAUAAAAAUGUGGUUGCAAAUUAAAUAGAAGCUUUUUUAAGUUUGAAAUUUUCAGCCAAAUAGAAAUAUUUUGUCAAAUGCAUUCCAGGAAAACUUCGUUUGAUGAAAAAUUCCCAGUUUGGGGUAAAGGUGAGUCAGCCAGUUCUCACAAACCUCUGGCUACCACUGCCUGACUUUGAGAGAACUCUAUCCCGUGCUCCCAGCAGGUACAGUCAUUAAUCUUUACGCUUUUCAGCAAAAUCCUUUAAUUCACACAGUAAGUGCCGCACUAGUACAUGCUGGGUGAAAUCCAGGCUCUGUGGAAACCACCAGGAAUUCUCCUGACAGCAGUGCUGCUUUUCUGUUAGAUUUCCUGCCAAUGAUUGCCCAAUGUUCCACCUAUCCAGAUCCCUCUGCAAGGCCUCUCAUCCCUUGAGCCCACAGCACCUCCCACUUCAGCAUCUUCAGCAAACUCCCUCCUGGUGCUUUCCACUCCUGCACCCAGAUCUUGGACAACAGCGUUGAACAGUAUGAACCCCUGGAUUGAGACCCACGCACUCUACUGGCAAACCACAGCUCUCCUCUUUCUCUGACACCUAGCCUGGCUUCCAGAGAGCCACGUGCAGUGUGCCCAGUUCAGCCAAGCUGGCAACCUACCCCCCCGCCUGGCUUCUGCCUGAAGGGCCUUGCCUCUCCUGCACACGUUCUAUUCAAACUUGACCAGCACUCGGGGCCCCCUGAGGCAGCUCCUCAGGGGACAUGGCCAACUGCUCCCUGGCAGCUUAUACUUUGCACUCUUGAAAGCCAGGGUGACAACUCUGCUUUUUGUAACUACACCAAAACAUUUAAAUCAGACCACUUCAUGGUCACUGUGACCAGGACCAUAGCUCCUGCCAUGAGUCCUCUAUUCACAAACCCCCGUGGCAGAGCACCUUUCCUAGUUGGCUUGCUGAGCAUUUGUGAUGAGAAAUUAUCCUCAACAAACAUCAGGAAUUUCCCGGACUGCUUGUCACAGCAAUAUGGUACUCAUGUCUAGUUAAGUUACUCACUGAUCCUAAAUUAAAACUGGACUUGACAUUCCACUAGCAUUCAGGAAUGUUCUACUAGCAUUUAAAAAUUGUGAAACACAUGGAAUCUUGCCACACGACCACUUAGUUUCAAACAUGGCCCCAGAGCGUUGUUCAUUGACCUGGGUAAAACAAAGCCCCGGCCCACGCCUACAGGGGCUUGCAAGGAAUAAGUAAUGUUUAACACACUCCAGCUCACAUAUGUGAAAUGGCUCCAACCAUAGGCAGAUGGUACCUUAGUUCACCGUGCACAUUGGGAACGAGCUGUGCCACCAGCAGGCGUGUCACCACACCCACACAUCCACGUCCCUGCCACCCUGCAGCGAGCACAGCCCAGCUUGGCCCGCAGUCAGAGCCCAGAGCCACAGCCCCUGCCAGCCAGGCCCCACAGAUCUCCAUCCGUGUGAUCCAAGAGCUGCAGGACCCUCCUGCGGCAGGCCCUGCACCGCCACGGGCGCUCCAUGCCAGGGCAGUGCCUUGCCCGGUGCCAGUGCUGGGAACACCACCCACGGCACAGCCAGAGCCAGGGCAGUGUCCCGGCAUCACUCCCAGAGCCAGGGCAGUGUCCCGGCAUCACUCCCAGAGCCAGGGCAGUGUCCCGGCAUCAUUCCCAGAGCCCAGCUCCGGGAAGGGCCCAUCCAGCCCCGCAGCCACACGCGGGGCUCUGCCAGGAACCGGGGCUGCCCCGUCCCGUGCCAAAGACAGCUCCACAGCCUGGGCACUGGGAGAAGGCACUCACAUAAGCUGGAAAAGCAUCAGCUGAUAUCUGGUGAAUUCUGGAGGAAAUAACUCACUUGCUACUUGGGAUAAAGGUUCCGAUUUAUAUAUGUGGUGUUUUGUUUUUUUCCAGUCAUAAUAAACUUCUGAGGAAGAAAACUGAGUUUUCAGGAGUAUUCUAGGAACAGCAGGUGAGUUCUAAAUUUCAGUUCAUACAGAAUUAAUCCUGCAAAUAUUAAUUAAAAGUUGGGUUUUUUUCUUGGUAAGCAGAGAGAAUAAUCUCUGAAUCCCUGAAUAUUUGCCUUGGAAGCAAAUAAUAUUGAAAUGACUGCAAAUUGCACAGUUAAAGAGUAUUCACUCGGACAUGAAAUUAAGUAAUUGUUUUUUGCUCUUUAAAUGGGCACAUUCUAUCUUCCAUUUAAUAAAAAUUAAUUAACCGAGAUCACUAAAACAAGAAUUGCAUGAGUUGAAUUGUCCUCCGAUACAACAGAAAAAUUCCAAGAGGCUGGAAAGUGUUUUGUUUUAAAGGCAGCAGAAAAUUUUAGCUUUUAAAAUAAAAACACUCCCAAACACAGAAAGCUCAUACCAAUGAGUCAGCAAAAGGGGGGUCCCAUAGAGCAUUAAAAGGUCUACACUGGUGUGACAUAUAACCCCUGGUGAGACUGAUAAAGAUUGAUAGAGCAGGUACCUUUGGUCCAAAAAAAAUUACUGAAACACCUCAGCAGUUUCGCCAAAUAAGAUUAUCAAUACAUAGAUAUUUAAAGUGGGCAUUUCCUGGAAAUCAAACAGAAUUUUCCUCCCUUCUCACUUAAUUUGUGUUUCUUUUUAGAAAGGUUACUUUUCAUUGUUGGAUCUCAUUUCUUCAUUAAAAAUGCAUAAAAAAUAAUUUUUAAAAAAAAGAAGAAAAUUCAUUUAACCAGCAAACUAGUUCCUCUCUCAAACACUGAUAACUACUAACACUGUGAAACUGUAAGAAAUGAAACACACAAAAGGAAUUCUCAAGAUAAUUUUUCUUUAACCGUGUUCUGAGGACAACAUUGUGUAACUGAGGCCAAACCUUGCGAGGUUAUGGCAAUAGAUUUCAAGCUCUGGUGAGCUGAACUGAUUGCACAGGCAGGUCGUGCAUGCAGUUCCUAGCGGUUAAGGACAGCCAGAUGUUUCCUUACAGAGCUGGGCACUCCUCCCCUCCCCACCCAGCAAGAACCAGUGUCCUUUUAAGCCCAGCUCUGCCCCGGCCAGCCCGGUUUGCCCAGUGACAUCUCCACGGUGUGCGGGACAAAGGCGGACACGGAACACCAGCAGAAAUCAGAAGAGAUCAUGGCUUCCAGGUUAAAGACCUUUGCUCAACUUUCUGCUGUUCUGGGUUAAUCUUUCUCUACCCAGCCAUCGGAGUGACCGUCGCAGGAAUUUCCCAAUACUUUGGUAUUUCAUUUCAGAGAACUGGACCCCAACCAGUCUGCAGCAGUACUGCAUGUUGCAAUGCAGUUCCAGACUUUCCCCAGGCUCCCUGGGGAGUGACCAGUGUUUCACCUACAGUUGCAGAGCCCCAUUUUGAGGGAAACUGCUUUCCACACACCCCACCCCCCCAGAAACACAACCCACAAAUACCAAGAUCCCAUAAAGGGAGAGGGAAAGGUGUCCACUGGAAGCAGAGGCUUGCAGCAGCUGCCCACUGCUGGGAACUCAGAAAAGAAACCAGGACUCCAAAGGUUCGAGUACAGACAGUCAGCAAAAUGUCCUGCAAGAGAAUCCUGGUUCUGCCAAGCCCUACCAACACACCAGAGGAUCCUUUGGCUGUUGUGUCCGAUGGUCUUUGAAACCCCCUCUGCUGAAGUCUGCAGUGAUCACUCCUUCCAUGGGCUAAGGACCUCUACUCCCAGAGCUGUGGAGUGUGACAAUGGUGUUUGUGUGCAGUCUAUCAAACGCCAUUAUCACACUAAAUAGUUCCUGGAAGACAAGGCAACAGGUCAGAAAGGUUUGGGACCUCUGGCAAUACAUCUUCCCACUGUACUGAGGAAUAAACAACGGUGGUACGUGCACAGCAGGAUGACUCUGCUCCUUCUUUUAGAGGCAAAAGCACCAGAAUAUGUGAGAAAUCCAUAUUCUGACACAUGCACUUCCAGACCCCAUUGUAAAGCACACCAGACUUCUUAAGGAAUCAUCACUAUACUGUCAUCAUUAGGAAAGUGGAUUUCCUUGGCAUUAACAGGGCUAUAUUUACCUCUGAGACGUCAGCUUGUGAUUUUCAUGGAACUGACCAGGACAAUAAAACUGAAGGCAAUUAGCCAACAGAAUGAAAUUCCAUCUCUGACUGUGGGACCAAACUACAAUAUACAUUUGGGUUAUUAAUUGGCUGAGGUGCUCAUGACAUUUUUCAAACAGAACACUUCCCAAAAUUCUGAUAAAAAUCUAUUGCCUCUAACUUGAAACACCAUUUAUCCAAUGCUUUUAGCUUUGCUCCCAUCCCGCCAUGUCAAGCCCCUUGCCUUAUCUUCUAAACCUUCUGUUUAGGGAACAGUCAAAAUGUCUUCACAGAAUUUUUUC